AUGAACGCUAGCGACAGGCCUAACACAUGCAAGUCAGGGGCAGCACAAGGAGCAAUCUGAGGUGGCGACCGGCGCACGGGUGAGUAACACGUAUGCAACCUGCCUGUAAGCGGGGAAUAACCCGUUGAAAGACGGACUAAUACCGCAUAAUACUAAAUUACUGCAUGGUAAUUUAUUUAAACAUUUAUGGCUUACAGAUGGGCAUGCGCAUGAUUAGCCAGUUGGAGAGGUAACGGCUCCCCAAGGCAACGAUCAUUAGGGGUUCUGAGAGGAAGGUCCCCCCACACUGGUACUGAGACACGGACCAGACUCCUACGGGAGGCAGCAGUGAGGAAUAUUGGUCAAUGGACGAGAGUCUGAACCAGCCAAGUCGCGUGCAGGAAGAAUUGUCCUAUGGAUUGUAAACUGCUUUUGCAGGGGAAUAAAGUGCAUCACGUGUGAUGUUUUGUAUGUACUCUGCGAAUAAGGAUCGGCUAACUCCGUGCCAGCCGCCGC
rnacentral:rRNA from 1 species